ACAAUUACGACAUUAAAGAAAACUUAUUAUUUUUAACACUCGAAACAUCGGUAUUAGUAUAUACUUACCGCCGAGUACGCAAUGAAGAGAAGCGAGAGAAAUAUGAAUCCACACAAAAUACGUGGACCCAUUAUACUUUAUUCGAUGUCUCAGUUUUCAAUUCGUUUCUUCCUUGAGUGAUCAAACUCCAGUUAUGCUUUCAUUUAUACACAUAUAGACAUGUGAAAAACUGCAACAUUUGCAGAAAUGUGAGAUCCAUUUAGCCUUCAAAUAUCUUUCGUACAGAAUAACCCCCGCAGUCACGCCUUUGCUAUAUCACGUACUUGUAAGUAACCUUUAUUUCUGUCGUCUAAAUAUUUGUUUUUGUACAUUAAAAUACGAUGCCAAUAACGGAAAAUCACAAUAUCAUCGACGUAUUUUCUAAAAAAUGCAGAAGAGUCACUAAGUGGUGGUGUAACGUGUUCGCCCAUUUGUAUAAAUGCAAGAUGUAUUCCUGAAAGGAGACAGAUCCGACGCAAACUCUGUAUGUAGGCCAACCACCGAUUAGUACAGAAAUAUAAACACAAAUAUAUCGACCGCAUGAUAAGUUUACAUAAUUUUGCAAAGGAAAUGGUUAGAUAAUACAAAUGCAAUUAUCAUGAUGCUCUGGAAGGGCAUUAUCCAUCGCCAAUUUUUUAAAAUUGAAAUUCGAAAAUUUACUAUGCUUCAGAGACUUCAUCUGUCUAUGUCUUCAAGCAAGAACACACCUACUAACUACCUACUCUGUAGUGGCCGGUAGAUAAAUCUAAACGUCAUCAUUUUAAAUAGCAAUGGUUAAUGUCCUAUUGAAGUGUCACAAUAGUACUAGAACACAACUCUAAAAAACUUUAGAAAUAUAUUACAGAAUAAAAUUAUGCUGAACUACUGAAGUUGGUUAAUCUCAAAACACGAAUUCAAACAUCCCAACAGUUUGUUAAGACCUAAACGUGUUCAAGGAUCAUGCACUGUCAUCAGCACAAGUCAUUCCUCCUGGACAUUCUUGCUCUAGAUGCUGAUAAUGACACAUUCCUAACAAUCCGCAACAAGCAGCUGACAUGGACACGACAGUGUCUACAGUCAAACGGUGUCCUAUUCUAUCAAAGUAAUACCAUCCUUUAUAGAAUUGUUACAAGUUCCAGCUGCUUCAAAUAUGAAGGAAUGCAUCAGAUACCUUCCUCUCAUUACAUCUCUAACAAUGCAGAUGAUGCUGUGUCACUGCAAGAACUUGGAGGUCACAACGAUGCCUCUAUCCAGCAAGCAAGAUGUGUUACUUUCCAGCAUCAGUUCUGAUCCUACCAUUCUGGAAGGUAAUAAGAAUAAGUCAAUUAUUGACAGCAACACAGAAAACCAAAUCAUUGCUAUAAGUAAAAGCAGUCAAUCACAGAAAAAUAAAGAAGCAAAUUUAAACAAGGAAAAAAAUAAUCCAUCAUAUAAAUGUGUUCAUUAUAAUGUGGAAAGUGACUUCACAUACAGGAAGGCAUCUUCUAGAGCUGAUCAGAACUCCAAAAGUCUAAUUUUGGAUAACUAUUUGUCAUCCGAGCUUCAAACUGAUGCUGUAACUUCCAAAGAUGCAUUAUUUAAGAAUAGGGUCAGUUCAGCUAAACAUGAUCAGCAGAGUGAACACAUUCCCAAGUCAUUUAAUGAGGAACCUAAAAAGAUGACAAUGUGGAGAUUUAAUGUUGAUAAAAAAAACACACAACAUAAAAAUGAUAGUUCUAUUACUGAUGACUUUUUGAUCAGAAAUGACUCUACAUCAGUUGAACAAAACAAAAUUCAUGCCAAUAUGUACAGAGCUAAACAAAGGCAUUUCAAACGAAAUUAUCACUUGAAAGAUUUUGCAAACACUGAAAUAGAAAACAAAAAUGGCAUAUUGAAUGCUGAGAAACAUAAUAAACAAAUCACACUGAAUGCAGACAUACCUCAGAAUAAUACUCAGUUUUCUUUACCUGACAAAAACCUUAUUACAGCAACAUUAUUUGAAGGCAAUACACAUCUUGGUAAGAAAACAACCACAAACACAUCUCAAACAAAUCAAAUGAAGCAGCUAAUUACAGACAGCACAAAAAAUUCACCACCCAUGAAGAUCCAAGAAAUGAAUAACCAGUCAACUAAACAGGAUGUUGACGACACAGAAAUAAAUGAAAAUUUACCUCAGAAUGAUGUGUAUAUUGCAGCAAAUCAGAGUUUUUACCCAGCUAUUAGAGAAGACAAAGUACAGCCUCUGCAAGAUAUUUUAACCAACAACAAAAGUAAUGAACAUAGUUUACCAGUAAAUGUAAAUGACUUUUCAGUGACUAGUGAUCAUGGUUUUAGUAAGCUUCCAAUAGACUAUGAACACUUGAACCAAGAGUUAGAGAUGGAAAGUAACACUUUAGUGAUAAACAACAUCCAACCAAGACAGUCUCAGGAUAUACUAAAAUCUGCAGUCCUUCAGCAGCCAGGAGUUAGACAGCCCCAGGCAGGUCCUGAAAUGGAUUUGUUUAAGAAAGAGCUUGGGCGAGCAGAAAGACUCAACAGAUCUUUCGAAAAGUUGAUUCAGUUUGUCAACAUUGUUGCUCAAGUUGAUUCUUAUUUGACAGAUAAAGCAAGAGGUGCAAUUCGUAAGUUGGCAAGACUUUAUGAUGGUGACAAUGACCAAGGUUAUUACAGGUGUGCUUGAGAAAUUUCUUAUGUGAUCAAUAGGAUGGACAAUUUGCAACCUGACAUUCUCAGACCAGUUAAUUACAAAUACCUGUCAUGCACUGUAUUUUAAUAAUUUAACACUGGCAAGGGACAUGUAAUUCUCCUGCAUUUUAUUAUGUUAAAUGAAGCAAAGAGUUGAUGUUAGCUGUUCAUUAGCUAUAAUUGGCA